CGCGCUUUCAAAUAUCACGGUUGAUGC
rnacentral:sRNA from 1 species